UACGUAGGGACCAAGCGUUGUUCGGAUUUACUGGGCGUAAAGGGCGCGUAGGCGGCGUGUUAAGUCACUUGUGAAAUCUCUAAGCUUAACUUAGAACGGUCAAGUGAUACUGAUGUGCUAGAGUGCAGAAGGGGCAACCGGAAUUCUUGGUGUAGCGGUGAAAUGCGUAGAUAUCAAGAGGAACACCUGAGGUGAAGACGGGUUGCUGGGCUGACACUGACGCUGAGGCGCGAAAGCGUGGGGAGCGAACAGG
rnacentral:rRNA from 1 species